CGGGUGAGUAACACGUGGGUAACCUGCCCUGAAGCGGGGGAUAACAUCUGGAAACAGGUGCUAAUACCGCAUAACAACGAAAACCACAUGGUUUUCGUUUCAAAGAUGGUUUCGGCUAUCACUUCAGGAUGGGCCCGCGGUGCAUUAGCUAGUUGGUAAGGUAACGGCUUACCAAGGCAAUGAUGCAUAGCCGAGUUGAGAGACUGAUCGGCCACAAUGGAACUGAGACACGGUCCAUACUCCUACGGGAGGCAGCAGCC
rnacentral:rRNA from 1 species